UUGUGUUUGUGAUUGUGAAAAUGUGAGUGUGUGUCUGUGUAUGUGUGAACCAGGGAUCCCACUUGACAAGUUGACCUUGUCUAGAGGAGCAUUAGUGGAAAAAAACAGGGUAGCCCUGAGACAAUAGGAUGCCGUCACGACCAAUGAGACUGGCCUGCAGGGGGCGCAAGGAUUCACUUCUCUCUUGGACACUGGCGGGUGUAGACACGGUAAUUAUGAUCCUGGCAAUUGCGUUGAUCGUCAGUAGAAGAGCGUAGCUUAGGUGGGGUUCUGUCUGCCUCUGAUGGGGUGCGGAUCUGUGGUUCGUCACUGGUGAAUGGUGUUCGACGAUGCAGGUGGAUUUUGUGACGAGCGGAUUUACAAUGAGGGAAUGCUGUGAACGGGAAAAAUGAUGAGCUGUCCUAACUUGCCCCGACAUGCCAUGAUGACGUCACAGCUGACGUCACAGGAUGUCCGGAACUGGUGUUCAUAGCUGCAAUGCUUUGCAACCUGCCUCCGUGCUCCGUCGCCCAGCGACAGUCAGCGGCCGUUCCGUACCGCUUUCUUCAAGAUGACGUCGUUGAUCUUCAACUAAACUCCUUCUCUCCACUCUAUCUCUAUCUUUUUAUUUUAUUUUCUACCUAUUUUUUUAUUUUUUAUCAGCUCAAGUAGCCGGAAACUCACACAGUGGUCUGGACGUGUCUUAGAUGAUCCCCAAUUAGUGUAAUGACUCCCUGGUGGGUCCUGAUUAAUGUGGGGGGUCCCAAUUAGCUCUAAUUGCUAAUUAAUGGCGUCCAGACGAAGAUGUGAGUUUCCGGAUACUUGAGCUGAU